rnacentral:rRNA from 1 species
GACGAACGCUGGCGGCGUGCUUAACACAUGCAAGUCGAACGGAAAGGCCCUGCUUUUGUGGGGUGCUCGAGUGGCGAACGGGUGAGUAACACGUGAGUAUCCUGCCCUUGACUUUGUGAUAACUUCAGGAAACUGGGGCUAAUACCGGAUAGGAGCUCCUGCUGCAUGGUGGGGGUUGGAAAGUUUCGGCGGUUGGGGCUAGACUCGCGGCUUAUCAGCUUGUUGGUCGGAUAGUGGCUUACCAAGGCUUUGACGGGUAGCCGGCCUGAGAGGGUGACCGGACACGACAGGACUGAGAUAAGGCGCAGAAUGCUACGGGAGGCAGCAGGAGGGAAUAUGACACAAUGGGCGGGAGACAGAUGAGAAAACGCCGAGUGCGGAAUAACGGGCUUCGGGGUGUAAACCGCUUUCGCCUGAAACGAAGCGUGAGUGACGGUAAUGGGUAAAGAAGCACCGGCUAACUACGUG